AGAGUUUGAUCCUGGCUCAGGAUGAACGCUAGCGACAGGCUUAACACAUGCAAGUCGAGGGGCAGCACGGGAGUAGCAAUACAACUGGUGGCGACCGGCGCACGGGUGAGUAACGCGUAUGCAACCUACCUAUCAGGAGGGGAAUAACCCGGCGAAAGUCGGACUAAUACCGCAUAAAACAGGGGCACCGCAUGGUGAUAUUUGUUAAAGAAAUUCGCUGAUAGAUGGGCAUGCGUUCCAUUAGGUAGUUGGUGAGGUAACGGCUCACCAAGCCGACGAUGGAUAGGGGAACUGAGAGGUUGGUCCCCCACACUGGUACUGAGACACGGACCAGACUCCUACGGGAGGCAGCAGUGAGGAAUAUUGGUCAAGUGGGCGAGAGCCUGAACCAGCCAAGUCGCGUGAAGGAAGAAGGAUCUAUGGUUCGUAAACUUCUUUUGCAGGGGAAUAAAGUGCGGGACGUGUCCUGUUUUGUAUGUACCCUGAGAAUAAGGAUCGGCUAACUCCGUGCCAGCCGCCGC
rnacentral:rRNA from 1 species